UGCGUAGGCGGAAAAUUAAGUCAGUGAUGAAAUCCUGCAGCUUAACUGUAGAACUGUUAUUGAUACUGAUUUUCUUGAAUUCAGUUGAGGUAGGCGGAAUGUGUAAUGUAGCGGUGAAAUGCUUAGAUAUUACACAGAACACCGAUUGCGAAGGCAGCUUACUAAGCUGAUAUUGACGCUGGGGCACGAAAGCGUGGGGAGCGAACAGGAUUAGAUACCCUGGUAGUCC
rnacentral:rRNA from 1 species